GGAGGGAAAACCCCAAAAUCUGGGUCCUCAUUUUGGGGAGAAAAACCCCAAAAUCUGGGUCCUCAUUUUUGGGGUGAAAAGCUCCAAUAUUGGGGUCCUUUCUGGAGGGAAAACCCCAAAAUCUGGGUCCUCAUUUCUGGGGUGAAAAGCUCCAAUAUUGGGGUCCCUUCUGGAGGGAAAACCCCAAAAUCUGGGUCCUCAUUUUUGGGGAGAAAAAACCCAAAAUGUGGGUCCUCGUUUUUGGGGUGAAAAGCUCCAAUAUUGGGACCCUUCUGGACAGAAAAACCCCAAUAUUGGGGUCUAUUUUGGAGGGGAAAAACCCCAAAAUGUGGGUCUUCAUUUUGGGGUGAAAAGCUCCAAUAUUGGGGUCCUUCUGGAGGGAAAACCCCAAAAUCUGGGUUCAGUUUUGGGGAGAAAAACCCCAAAAUGUGGGUCUUCAUUUUUGGGGUGAAAACUCCAAUAUUGGGGUUCCUUCUGGAGGGAAAACCCCAAAAUCUGGGUCCAUUUUGGAGGGGGAAAACCCCAAAAUGUGGGUCCUCAUUUUUGGGGUGAAAAGCUUCAAUAUUGGGGUCCCUUCUGGAGGGAAAACCCCAAAAUCUGGGUCCUCAUUUUUGGGGAGAAAAACCCCAAAAUCUGGAUCCUCAUUUUUGGGGUGAAAAACUCCAAUAUUGGGUCCCUUCUAGAGGGAAAACCCCAAAAUCUGGGUCCAUUUUGGAAGGGAAAAACGCCAAAAUCUGGGUCCUCAUUUUGGGGAGAAAAACCCCAAAAUGUGGGUCCUCAUUUUUGGGGUGAAAAGCUCCAAUAUUGGGUCCCUUCUGGAGGGAAAACCCCAAAAUCUGGGUCCUCAUUUUUGGGGAGAAAAAACCCAAAAUGUGGGUCCUCAUUUUUGGGGAGAAAAGCUCCAAUAUUGGGGUCCCUUCUGGGGGGAAAAACCCCAAUAUUGGGGUCUAUUUUGGAGGGGAAAACCCCAAAAUGUGGGUCUUCAUUUUGGGGUGAAAAGCUCCAAUAUUGGGGUCCCUUCUGGAGGGAAAACCCCAAAAUCUGGGUCCUCAUUUUUGGGGUGAAAACUCCAAUAUUGGGGUCCUUUCUGGAGGGAAAACCCCAAAAUCUGGGUCCAUUUUGGGAGGGAAAACCCCAAAAUGUGGGUCCUCAGUUUUUGGGGUGAAAAGCUCCAAUAUUGGGGUCCUUCUGGAGGGAAAUCCCCAAAAUCUGGGUCCUCAUUUUUGGGGUGAAAAGCUCCAAUAUUGGGGUCCUUCUGGAGGGAAAACCCCA
rnacentral:lncRNA from 1 species